rnacentral:rRNA from 1 species
CGAGAUGAGUUCUCCCUGACCCUUUAAGGGUCCUGAAGGAACGUUGAAGACGACGACGUUGAUAGGCCGGGUGUGUAAGCGCAGCGAUGCGUUGAGCUAACCGGUACUAAUGAACCGUGAGGCUUAACCUUACAACGCCGAAGCUGUU